rnacentral:rRNA from 1 species
UACGAAGGGGGCUAGCGUUGCUCGGAAUCACUGGGCGUAAAGGGUGCGUAGGCGGGUCUUUAAGUCAGGGGUGAAAUCCUGGAGCUCAACUCCCAGAACUGCCUUUGAUACUGAAGAUCUUGAGUUCGGGAGAGGUGAGUGGAACUGCGAGUGUAGAGGUGAAAUUCGUAGAUAUUCGCAAGAACACCAGUGGCGAAGGCGGCUCACUGGCCCGAUACUGACGCUGAGGCACGAAAGCGUGGGGAGCAAC